UUUUACGGUUUUUCGAGACAGGGUUUCUCUGUGCAGCCCUGCCUGUCCUGGAUCUCACUCUGUACACCAGGCUGGCCUUAAACUCAUAGAAAUCCACCUGCCUCUGCCUCGCAAGUGCUGGGAUUAAAGGCAUGUGGCCCCCCCUUUUUUUUAAGAGAGAGAAAGUCUCUCUCUGUAGACCAGGCUGACCUUGAACUCACAGAGAUGCUUCUGCCUCCUGAGCUCUGGGAUUAAAGGUGUGCGCCACCGUGACCACCUUAUUUUCAACCUUUUGACUUUGUCAUGCUGAACAAGGGUUUUUGUGUCCUGUGUUUCCAUUCUUCUUGGGCUAUUCCUGCAGCGGAAUUCCCAGAUACUACAGUAAUUGUUUAGCUUUUUAUUUUCAUCUCUGUGUGUGUACCUGUGCACCACAGAACAGUGUUGCAGAAUGUGUUUAACUAUGCAAAGAUGUGUUGCUGUGUUACCUUGCCUGCCUAAGGCAUCUGAUUGGUCUAAUAAAAAGCUGAACAACAGCCAAUAGCGAGGGAGGAGGGAUCGGUGGGCCUUCUGGGCAAGGAGGGUAAGUAGGAGGAGGAAUUUAAGCCAAAAGGGAAGAAAGAAAAAGAGACACGAGGUGUAACAGGCUUCCUUAGACCGCCAGCCCCCAAAUCAGAACACAGGGACUUACUAUAUUAAUUAUGAAUGCCCGUCCUUAGCUUAGGCUUUUUUCUAGCUAGUUUUGUUUUUAACUUAAAUUAUUCCAUUUCUGAUCAUCUAUGUGUGGUCCUGAGGCUCGUUUACCUCAUCUCCUGCUGUCCAUCCUGCUUUCAAGCUUCCUCUGUGCCUGGCUGACUGUCCUCCGGUUGGCUGGCCCCCUUUUCUCUCUGCCCGCCAGCCCCACCGAUCCCUCCUCUGCCGAGCUAUUGGCCAUUCAGCUUUUUAUUAGACCAAUCAGGUGCCUUAGUCAGGCAAGGUAAAACAGUAACACAUCUUUACAUAGUUAAACGAUUAUUCUGCAACACAUCUUUACAUAGUUAAACCAAUAUUCUGUUCCACAAAAGCCAGGGAGACUCCAGGGGCCAGCCAGACAUGGAGGAAGCAGGAAAGUAGGACACACGGAAUGAAAGAAAGGUAAAAAGCCCUGAGGCAGAACAUAGAUGAAUAGAAACAAGUUAAAUUAAGUUAAAAGAGCCAGUGGGACAAGCCCAAGCUAAGGCUGAGCACUCAUAAUUAAUAUUAAGUCUCCAUGUCUUUAUAUGGGAGCUGGUUGGUGGUCAUAAGAAAAUUCCAACUACAGAAUGGGGUGUCGGAUCCCUGAGGCUGGAGCUACAGUGGUCGUGAGGUAGCACGUGGUUCUGGGAACCAGAAGGGCCCUCUUAGCACCAAGCUGUCUCUCCAGACACUGUUUGUCCGAAGCCCCCUGCCAGCCUCACUCCCACGGGCGGCCUCUCUCCCAGCAGCCCUUAGGAAUUCUCGUUUCUGGUCCUGUCUGGAGCUGGGUGGUGAGUCCUGGUCCUGGGGCCACAUGCUCAAGGCAGCACUUCUUUUUCUCAGACUGCCCUCCCUGUCACCCACUGCCCUGAGGAACAACAGGACCGUGCCAGGAGCCACACAGCCACCCCGUUGAGUCAGCCUGCCACCCACGCCAGGGCCCUUCCACUGUUCCCGUUUAGCUCACCCCUCACCUAGGCCAGGGCUCUCUCCUUAGGCCUUCUCCUCUCCCCUCGCCUCCCUCCCCAGGUCCUGCCUGCCCUGUCUUCCCACCCCCCUCAUCUGCCAUUCCUUCCUGCCCUGAUAUCCCUCCUGGGCCCGGCUCUGGUCACAGGCCCCAAGUCAUAUCUCCUUUUGCUCAUAGGCAUGGCAUCGCUGUCCAACUUGGCAACUGGUGGCCCCUCACCUCAGGAUACCCUUCUCGUUGUUGAGACACCUGGCUGCUCCGUCCUCUGUUCUGUUCCAGAAACGCUGUGACGACAGCUUGGUCUGGCAAGGAGACACCCUCGAGCGGACAGUCACUUCCUGCGUCGCCUGUUCCCUCGCUGGCCAAGGGCCUGGGAAUGUUCCCCUCCAGAGCUGAAUUAUGGGACUAAGAAUGUAACACCUCCUACCACUCAAAAUGCAAGCCCUCCAACAGGCCCCAGUUAGCACAUCCGACUCCAUGGUGAACGUACCGUUCAGGUCCUAAACUCAGCAGGCAGACAGCAGCCCCCGUCAAAAUGAAAACACAGGCCUCAUCCACCAAAGGCCACAGUUCUGGGACAGUCCCUGAAUGUACUGACCUCGCUUUUUGGCUUCUGUGGUUCUGCUUCUGGCUAACUGUUCUUGCUAACUGAGGCAUGUCACCCCAGGACAUGGCCUUUGGGCUUGAAAGCCCAGGCUGAGAAAGACUCAGGGCUACAGUGGGAUCCCGAGCACCCAGUCACCAGCUGACUAAUAAAUAAAGACUUUCUGUGGUCUUGAA